GAUGAACGCUGGCGGCGUGCCUAAUACAUGCAAGUCGAGCGAACAGGCGAGGAGCUUGCUCCUUUGAUGUUAGCGGCGGACGGGUGAGUAACACGUAGGUAACCUACCUAUAAGACUGGGAUAACUUCGGGAAACCGGAGCUAAUACCGGAUAAUAUUUCGAACCGCAUGGUUCGAUAGUGAAAGAUGGCUUUGCUAUCACUUAUAGAUGGACCUGCGCCGUAUUAGCUAGUUGGUAAGGUAACGGCUUACCAAGGCAACGAUACGUAGCCGACCUGAGAGGGUGAUCGGCCACACUGGAACUGAGACACGGUCCAGACUCCUACGGGAGGCAGCAGUAGGGAAUCUUCCGCAAUGGGCGAAAGCCUGACGGAGCAACGCCGCGUGAGUGAUGAAGGUCUUCGGAUCGUAAAACUCUGUUAUUAGGGAAGAACAAACGUGUAAGUAACUGUGCACGUCUUGACGGUACCUAAUCAGAAAGCCACGGCUAACUACGUG
rnacentral:rRNA from 1 species